rnacentral:rRNA from 1 species
UACGUAGGGUGCAAGCGUUAAUCGGAAUUACUGGGCGUAAAGCGUGCGCAGGCGGUUCGCUAAGACCGAUGUGAAAUCCCCGGGCUUAACCUGGGAACUGCAUUGGUGACUGGCGAGCUAGAGUAUGGCAGAGGGGGGUAGAAUUCCACGUGUAGCAGUGAAAUGCGUAGAGAUGUGGAGGAAUACCGAUGGCGAAGGCAGCCCCCUGGGCCAAUACUGACGCUCAUGCACGAAAGCGUGGGGAGCAAACAGG